AUUCCAUGAUGGGGACAUUCUAGGAUGUAGUCUUAGAAGCGCUCCCAUGCUUCUAGAACAGAUUCAUCAUUUUGUUGCUGAAAACUUAUAAUAUUCUCACGGAGAGC
rnacentral:snoRNA from 1 species